CACGUAGGGUGCGAGCGUUGUCCGGAAUUAUUGGGCGUAAAGAGCGCGCAGGCGGUCGUACAAGUCGCGUGUGAAAGCCCCCGGCUCAACUGGGGAGGGUCACGCGAUACUGUUCGACUCGAAGGCAGGAGAGGGUAGUGGAAUUCCCGGUGUAGUGGUGAAAUUCGUAGAUAUCGAGAGGAACACCGGUGGCGAAGGCGGCUUUCUGGACGGUGAUUGACGCUGAGACGCGAAAGCGUGGGGAGCAAACAGG
rnacentral:rRNA from 1 species